rnacentral:rRNA from 1 species
CCUACGGGCGGCUGCAGUAGGGAAUAUUGCUCAAUGGGGGCAACCCUGAAGCAGCAACGCCGCGUGGAGGAUGAAGGUCUUCGGAUUGUUAACUUCUUUUUUUAGAGAAGAUAAUGACGGUAUCUAACCAUUAAGCACCGGAGAACACCGUGCCAGCUGCCGCGGUAAUACGGAGGGUGCCAGCGUUACUCGGAAUCACUGGGCGUAAAGCGGGCGUAGGCGGGUUAGCAAGUCAGAUGUGAAAUCCUAUGGCUUAACCAUAGAACUGCAUUUGAAACUGUUAGUCUAGAGUAUGGGUGAGGUAGGUGGAAUUCGUGGUGUAGGGGUAAAAUACGUAGAGAUCAAGAGGAAUACUGAUUGCGAAGGCGACCUGCUAGAA